CUACGCGGCUACGGUUUCGCCGAGAGAGCGGCUGUCCCCGGCUAGCAGCCCUCUGGUACGUGGCUGCGGCCCUCGGCGAAGCAGCGCAGACCCAGUCCCUGCAAGCUAACGUUCUCACCGCGGAGCUGGGGUGGCGCGGCGCGUCUGGUGUGGGGUCCUGGACGUGGGCAUCGUUCAGAGCGUGCCCUUCGGUAAGGCGGAGUCAAUACUGCCGCACUCGGGCACAGCCCCCUCCCGUUUCUCGUUUUGGGCUCGCCAGCCGGCCAGCGCAGCUUUCCCCAGCACGCCAGCCCCUGCUCUCGGAGAGGAGCAGAACCCUGGCCCUGCGAGUUCAAGGCCAGGAAGGUAUGAGGCAGACCCUGCUAUAUGCGGCUCUAUUGACUCCUUUGGUCGCUGUGACCUCAGCAAUGACAGAAGGAAAAGUGGAGUUAUUUUCAGAACCAAAUCCUUGCGAACGCUCAAAUUCCAAAGGAACAAAAACAAAAGCCUCGCCGGCAUUUACCAGGCAAACCCCAGUGAGAUAUCCUUCAAGGCUUGCCCAAAAUGCCUUUUUCCAGUGAAUCUUCUGGCCCUCCAUCUGUCCCUAAAGCAGAGCGAAGCAAGCGUCCUAGCCUAAGUGCCUCUCACCACCCUGUGAGUGCGCUCAGCGACAGAGUAACUCAAAAAAUGUUCACUGGGAUUUAUAAUCAAUGAAGUCCAUCGUAUGACAGAUGGAGAAACAGAGGAACAGACGAAGAGACAACUUGUCGAAGAUUACUCAGUGUUGAGUAGUGUUGAGACUGUAAUAGAACCCGAGGAAAAGAAAGAUCAAGGUGCUGCCCAUGCUGGGGAGCUGAAUGAAGUAGAGACGGAGCCACCAGUGGAGGCAGUACCUGGGGCAGAAACCGAAGCCAGGGCCAGAGACUGAGACAGGCAGAUAAGAGUCUACUGCCCUGAAAAGUUUGGCCCUGGGAUAGAUGCAUAGAAGAUUAGACACCUGUUGCUGCUCUUGAGAAGUGCAUUCUACUAGAAGAGACACAUACCUGCAGAAGUAUCUUCAACUCCAGAGGGAGCUGGCUCCAGCCGACUCAUUUGCAUAUGGUACCCUGGGUGUUCUGAACACCUAGUUGCAGACUCAACCAGAAGAGGUGGACAUUGCAAGACCAUAAUACUUUGGCCACUACUUUACUACUCCAGCAGGAGAAUGGAAGAUUUCCUCCUCCCCCAGGAACAGCCCAACCAAUUGGAGACUAUCAAAAAUCAGCCAAUGAGAAGUCACUACUGUUCAACUCUCAGUUUAUUCCAGUGGACUUUUUGUUUGUAACAGUGCUUCCAUCUCAGCCCUUUCCUCCAUAAAAGAGCUGUUUUUCUCCUUUGUUCUCUGGAACUUGACUGUUUUUGCAGUAGCUUGCUUGUCCCA